AGGAUGAACGCUGGCGGUCUGCUUAACACAUGCAAGUCGAACGGGCGUAGCAAUACGUUAGUGGCGGACGGGUGAGUAACGCGUGAGAAUCUACCUUCAGGACGGAGACAACAGUUGGAAACGACUGCUAACCCCCGAUGUACUGAAAAGGCAAAUAUUUAUAGCCUGAAGAAGAGCUCGCGUCCGAUUAGCUAGUUGGAGAGGUAAAAGCUCACCAAGGCGACGAUCGGUAGCUGGUCUGAGAGGACGAUCAGCCACACUGGGACUGAGACACGGCCCAGACUCCUACGGGAGGCAGCAGUGGGGAAUUUUCCGCAAUGGGCGAAAGCCUGACGGAGCAAGACCGCGUGGGGGAAGAAGGCUCUUGGGUUGUUAAACCCCUUUCUCUGGGAAGAACGCAAUGACGGUACCAGAGGAAUCAGCAUCGGCUAACUCCGUGCCAGCAGCCGC
rnacentral:rRNA from 1 species